ACGAACGCUGGCGGCGUGGAUAAGACAUGCAAGUCGAACGGGACAACAUCUGUAGCAAUACAGGUGUUGUUUAGUGGCGAACGGGUGCGUAACACGUGGGCAAUCUGCCGAGAAGUGGGGGAUAGCUCGCCGAAAGGCGAAUUAAUACCGCAUAUGAUCAGUGAAGACAUCUUCACGACAUCAAAGCCGGGGCAACCUGGCGCUUCUUGAUGAGCCCGCGGCCUAUCAGCUAGUUGGUGAGGUAACGGCUCACCAAGGCUAUGACGGGUAGCUGGUCUGAGAGGACGACCAGUCACACUGGAACUGAAACACGGUCCAGACUCCUACGGGAGGCAGCAGUGGGGAAUUUUGCGCAAUGGGGAAACCCUGACGCAGCAACGCCGCGUGGAGGAUGAAGCCCCUUGGGGUGUAAACUCCUUUCGAUAGGGAAGAUAAUGACGGUACCUAUAGAAGAAGCCCCGGCUAACUUCGU
rnacentral:rRNA from 1 species